AAUGACGGAAGGUAGAGCCAGGUGACUAUUUCUUCUGAACGAUCAAAAAGCUGAUUUUGAUUAGUACAUGUAUUCGUUGAAUCAUCUCCCGCCACUUGCUUCUUUUCAUCAAGAAGAUGUUUUCUUCUUUGAGAUAUCGGAGUCAUGUUGGAUGCUAACUUCAUUUAGAGUGUCAUGAUCAAGUAAUAAGUUCAUUGAGAUAUCUAGAAACAAAAAGGCUUUCUCAAACAAAUAAAGCAAUUCCAUUUUCAGGUAGGAUGUUGAUUCAAGGGAUCAAUCAAGAUUGUUUCUUUAUCCUCUUUGACUUUGGCUUCAAUUGUCCACUUGGGUAAUAAGUGAACUCUGACCUUUAUAGUAGAGAGGAUUAUGAUUAGGAUUAACAUAUAUAAGUGUCCUCAUACUGUGUAACUGAAACAGAUAUAUGUUGCUUCUCCCCUGAUACCCUUUACUCCUCUAUCAACAUUCGGUGUUUCCUUUUUUAAUAUUUGUUGCUUGCCUAAAUCAGUCUUUGUACUGUGGGUUCUUCUCAAGUCAUAAUUCUGAUUAGUGAUUUUUUUACUGCAGAUUCUUUGCUGUUAAUGAACUUUGAUGGAUCUUGGAAGAAUAAUUAAACUAUCUGUUAGGCACAGGAAGUGCAACAUUUGAGUGAACUACAUAUUGCAAGAUGAAGAAAUUACUUUGACUUAGGCUUCAAGAUGGACUAUAUAGCCUAAGCAACUGGAGUAACCAAAGACAUUUUCAGGGGACUACACUAGCUCUAAUAAUCCAGUAACAGAUUGGGAGUAUGAUUACAGUAUUUAGUUGGAUGACACCUUAUCUCUCUAGGACCUAUUAUAUUGUGAAAGUUCAAGACAUGUUGAGGAUCUAGGUAUUCGCGUACCAAAAUGUUCCUAACCUGGAAUUAGUAUUUUGAAUAAUCCCAAGAAUUAUUUAAUAAAGGAAAUUAAAGAAAAAACCAAAUAAAAUUCUUUAAAAGAAAGAAAUUGGCAUAUGUAUCCUUAACCUGCCAAGAGUCAUAAGCUGCAUUUAUCCUAAAAAGUGGAGUCUUGACAUAUGGAACAACGUUUUGAGGAAAAAAGCACUGCAUCGACAUUAAGGAAAACUAAUGUUAAUAGAGGGC
rnacentral:lncRNA from 1 species